rnacentral:misc_RNA from 1 species
GAUGAAGAACGCAGCGAAAUGCGAUACGUAAUGUGAAUUGCAGAUUUCAGUGAAUCAUCGAAUCUUUGAACGCACAUUGCGCCCGCUAGUAUUCUGGCGGGCAUGCCUGUUCGAGCGUCAUUUCAACCAUCAAGCCCUAGGCUUGCGUUGGAGCCCUGCGGCUGCCGCAGGCUCCCAAAUCCAGUGGCGGGCUCGUCGUCGUACCGAGUGCAGUAAACAUCCUCGCUCAGGGAACGUGACGGGUUCUUGCCGUGAAACCCCCCACAUAUCAAGGUUGACCUCGGAUCAGGUAGGAAUACCCGCUGAACUUAAGCAUAUCAAUAAGCGAGGA